rnacentral:rRNA from 1 species
AACGAACGCUGGCGGCAUGCCUAACACAUGCAAGUCGAACGAGACCUUCGGGUCUAGUGGCGCACGGGUGCGUAACGCGUGGGAAUCUACCCUUGGGUUCGGAAUAACAGUUAGAAAUGACUGCUAAUACCGGAUGAUGACGUAAGUCCAAAGAUUUAUCGCCCAAGGAUGAGCCCGCGUAAGAUUAGCUUGUUGGUGGGGUAAUGGCCUACCAAGGCGACGAUCUUUAGCUGGUCUGAGAGGAUGAUCAGCCACACUGGGACUGAGACACGGCCCAGACUCCUACGGGAGGCAGCAGUGGGGAAUAUUGGACAAUGGGCGAAAGCCUGAUCCAGCAAUGCCGCGUGAGUGAUGAAGGCCUUAGGGUUGCAAAGCUCUUUUACCAGGGAUGAUAAUGACAGUACCUGGAGGAUAAGCUCCGGCUAACUCCGUGCCAGCAGCCGCCGUAA